AUAUGUUUGCGAUGUUACUCUGAGUGCAUAUCCACACCGGGCGAGCCCGAAAAACAUGCCCGGCCACGGUGGGACUCGAACCCACGACCCCCGGAAUACUAGCCCAAUGCUCCUCCAACUGAGCUACGCGGUCAGGACGGUUCGAGUAAGUGAUAUUUCGGAAUACUAGCCCAAUGCUCCUCCAAGCUCCAAUGUAGCUCAGUUGGAGGAGCAUUGGGCUAGUAUUCCGGGGGUCGUGGGUUCGAGUCCCACCGUGGCCGGGCAUGUUUUUCGGGCUCGCCCGGUGUGGAUAUGCACUCAGAGUAACAUCGCAAACAUAUUAUUCACCUGAGUACACAACACCAACACAGAAAAAUAUUCAUAUUACUAGAACACAUUGGUAUUGAAGGAACUAGAUACUGUUCCGAAAUAUCACUUACUCGAACCGUCCUCACCGCGUAGCUCAGUUGGAGGAGCAUUGGGCUAGUAUUCCGGCCGCACUGCAUGAAAAGCCAAGUAUUCAGAUGUGAAUACGUGCGAAUAUCAAUUUGAAUAUGAUGAAUAUUCACACGUAUUCACUGAUAUUCACUGCGAAUAUCCUCGGAAUAUUAGUAGUAUUCAGAUGUGAAUACCUUAGAAUAAAACGCACCUCAUAUCCUCACCUAGAAUACGUUUGAAUAUUGUGUGAAUAUUUUUGAAGGCAUAGUAUUCACACUUGCGUACAUUAUUAAGUGAUUUUGUGUCGAUAUUAAAUAAUCAAGAUAUUAUUUUGAUCAAAUAUGUGUAGUGAUUGUGAUUAUAUAGCUAAGUUUUGCUAAACUGCGCAUCAGAGUACUUGCUUCCUAGUGAUUCUGCAAUUGUCUGGCAGUUAUCGAGAAUUGGGAUUCUACUUGGUUGGUUGACUAAACGAUUGUUU